AGAUGGAGUCUUGUUCUUGUCACCCAGGCUGGACUGCAGUAAUGUGAUCUUGGCUCACUGCAACCUCCGCCUCUGCCUCUGCCUCCCUGGUUCAAGCGAUUCUCCUGCCUCAGCCUCCUGAGUAGCUGGGAUUACAGGCAUCCGCCACCUCACCUGGCUAAUUUUUGUACUUUUAGUAGAGACGGGGUUUCACUAUGUUGGCCAGGUUGUGAACUCCUGACCUCAGGUGAUCCGCCUGCCUCGGCCUCCCAAAUUGCUGGAAUUACAGGCGUGAGCCACCAUGCCCAGCCCAGUUCUAAUAAUUCUUUAUUUUCCACUCGUUUAAUGUAAGAAGAAAUACAAAGACCUCUCCUGACAGAGCAAUAUCCUGGUCCCUAGGAAGCAUUCUCUGUGAUUUUGGUUGAAUGUGGAAAAAGAUGGAGGAGUAAUUAUUCCAGAUGUUUUAAAAAGUUGGAUUAUAUUGGAACAGUGUCUGACAAACCUGGAGAAGACAGUGCAAUUGACAUUGAUUGACACAAUCUCCACUUUGAAAAUAACCAGCCAAACUACUUAACAGA